rnacentral:rRNA from 1 species
AUGACUUCUGAUGGCGAUUGUGAAGGUCGGGUGACAGUGGAGAAGGAAUCAAAGCAUCUGCUUGACGAAAAUUUCGUGCUCUCGUACAGUGCGGUGUGCAUACCUCUCCAGUUCUGGCUCCCUCAGUUCUUGGUACUACUCUGCAACAGUAAUGGCUCCAAGAAUUCAGCCUGCAACCUUUACCUUCUCCGUUCAUUUCUUGGUCCUCUGCUACCUGACGUGCUAUUGCAGAUCACAACUGCACUCUCAUGGUCACAGGGAGGCGACGCCACCGCUACCGAGUUCAGCUUCUUUUACCUUGUGCUAUCUGAAAAUAGUUGA